rfam:Triticum aestivum genome assembly, contig: Triticum_aestivum_CS42_TGACv1_scaffold_472103_6AL
CUUGUACUCCCUCCGUCCGAAAAUACUUGUCAUUGAAAUGGAUGUAUCUAGAUGUAUUUUAGUUCUAGACACAUCCAUUUUGAUGACAAGUAAUUCUGGACGGAGGGAGUACUUG